ensembl:snRNA U6 U6 spliceosomal RNA
GUGCUUGUUUCAGCAGCACAUAUACUAACAUUGGAAUGAUACAGGGAAGAUGAGCAUGGCCCCUGCACAAGGAUGACAUAAAUUCACGAAGCAUUCCAUAGUUUU